UACGGGGGGGGGCAAGCGUUUGUUCGGAAUUACUGGGCGUAAAGGGCUCGUAGGUGGCCAACUAAGUCAGACGUGAAAUCCCUCGGCUUAACCGGGGAACUGCGUCUGAUACUGGAUGGCUUGAGUUCGGGAGAGGGAUGCGGAAUUCCAGGUGUAGCGGUGAAAUGCGUAGAGAUGUGGAGGAACACCAGUGGCGAAGGCGGCUUUCUGGUCUGUAACUGACGCUGAGGCGCGAAAGGCGUGGGGAGCAAACAGGG
rnacentral:rRNA from 1 species